rnacentral:rRNA from 1 species
AUUGAACGCUGGCGGCAGGCCUAACACAUGCAAGUCGAACGAGUGGCGGACGGGUGAGUAAUGUCUGGGAAACUGCCUGAUGGAGGGGGAUAACUACUGGAAACGGUAGCUAAUACCGCAUACCAUCGGAUGUGCCCAGAUGGGAUUAGCUAGUAGGUGGGGUAACGGCUCACCUAGGCGACGAUCCCUAGCUGGUCUUAGAGGAUGACGUGCCCCAAUGGAACUGUAACACAGUCCAGACUCAUACGGGAGGCAGCAGUGGGGAAUAUUGCACAAUGGGCGCAAGCCUGAUGCAGCCAUGCCGCGUGUAUGAAGAAGGCCUUCGGGUUGUAAAGUACUUUCAGCGGGGAGGCGUUACCCGCAGAAGAAGCACCGGCUAACUCCGUGCCAGCAGCCGCGGUAAGUC